rnacentral:lncRNA from 1 species
AAACUAAAAAAGAAAAGAAAUAAUAAAAAUGAAUGAAAAAAAAAAUGGCAGCCCAAAUUAAAAUUUGCCGAUCAAAAUUUUCACAACCAAGAACCAAGAAAACCCGCCAUUUAUAACCGAACCUCUGCCAAACAUGACAUUUGAGCUCAAGCCUCCAUGUCCCUUAGUUUGUUUUUUGUAAUCUCCACUUUCAAUCAUGUCUUAUCAAGACACGACUUGCACCCGUUUUUUAUGUCAAGCGACACAUCCAAGUCGUUCUCCUUUACGUGUUGAAGAUUUGAAGCGUAUCCAAGUAAUCCACUGCCACUGCAAAGGAACACACACAUGACACAACCUAGAUGCCCUAGGCUUAAAAGUUAAAAGCUGAUGGUUACAACUUACAACAGUGGAAUGUGGUUGAGCUUGAAAGGAAAGGAAAUUAAAAGGUGAAACUGCAAAGCACAAAAGUGUAAAGAAGGAAGACACAACGUGGAUUGGGGAUUUGCCACUAUUGGUUUUCUUUUCCCACAAAGGUCAAGGCCCAUUCUAAAAAGCGUUUAAAAAAAAAAAAGACGCACACACAACAAAAGAAAGGAAAUGGUUCGAUUCUUUUCAAGGGUUAAGAGGAGUCAUGCAAAGUCCAGGAAAUAAGGAGAAGGAAUGUAGCAAACAAGAGGAGUAGUGGAUUUUCCUUUUCCAUUGAAUAUUUUAUUAUUUAAAGAAACAAAAAAACAGAAGGCAUUUCAGGGAAAAGGGAGGAAGGGGGGGGGGGGGGGGGGGAGACUUCUUUUUGUGUAUUUUGAGGAUACUACCAUGCCACUCGGAUAUAGAAAGCUUUCUAAUUUUUAAUUUGUUUGUUUCACCCAUACUCUAUCAUGAAACUUGAUUAGUUAAAAUUAAAGAACAAUGUAUGUGUUAUUGCUAGCUAGUCAUGCCUAUAAUGUUCCAUGUGUAGUUUCACUUUAUUUUCAUAGUUUGAAAUAACAGAGAACUAACUUAUCAUUGGUGUUUGAUCUAGUCCUUUUCUUCAGUUUGUUUCUGCCAGCAUCAACAUGAUUGAAAAAAUGCCUAAACCAAUUAACAGUGAAUUACUAAUAAUUUAGUCUCUCAAAUUGCAUUUCAUUGUCAAAUUAGUCCACACAAAACUAUAAAAAAAAUAAAAAUCUUGAAAUGUUUUAGAGUGUCAUUUAAGUCGUCUCUAAAAUUAAAUACUUUUUAUUUUCAUUUUGAUCCGUAAUUCAAAGAUUUAAAUGAUAAUAACAUAUGAUUAGGGACUAAAAUGAAGAAAAGUGAUAUUAAUUUUAAGAACUUAAAUGAAACUUUAAAAAAUAGUAAUUUGUUUGAGUUUUUCUUAGUUUCAAAGAUUAAUGUGACAAGAUAUAAUAUUAGGAACUAAAUUUAUCAUUUAUUCACUAACUAAGUUGUUAAUCUUUGUAGAUGCUCACAUUUUUACUAUCAUAGCCAUUUGGUUAUGAACGCUAUAUAUGUAUUUGAUCUAGUGGUAAGAAGUUAGGAUAAUUUGCAUUAUUUUUUAGGUUUGAACUUUAUUAUUGCCAUUGUACAAACAAAAAAAAUUGUGAACAAUUUGUUUUAAUGUUUAAAUUAUUGUUUGAGUUAAAUUCCAAAUAUUUUGUUCUGUGAGUGUUUGAAAAUGUUGUGGACCACGUUGAAAAAAUUGUGGUAGCCCUAAAAGUUAUUUAUUAGUGUGGUGGAAAAUUAUGGUGGGAUAACAUGGUUUUUAAAAUUUAACUACCAAUCCAAACACAGUUUGUUUGUCAAUUUUCCUAUUUUCAAUUUUUAUUUAUCAAUUUGUUGCAAAUCUAGCUAGUUAUAAUAAUUGGGGAAAUGCUUUUUUAAUUCUAGCGAGUCAAAGACUUCUGCUCGACCAGUUUGAUUAUAUUUCUCUCUCUAAUAUCAGAAACUUAUGGUGCUGAACAUUUAGUGAUAAAUGAUGCAUAGCUAUAGCAUGUUAAUUACACAUACUAACGAAAGUGUGCAUAGACUGCAGGAAUCGAAAGUUAGUAACAUACUAACGUAAGAACCUCAACUUCACACAAAAAUGCGAUGGUAAAAAGGGGGUAGUACGUACACUUUGAAUGGGACCCGAAUACCCUUUCUGCCCUUUUUGAUCUUUUUUUGGUUUCACCUUUCUUCCACGGCUCUUCAAAGUUCAAACCCAUCAUCAACUGUGACGCAUGCAUGGAUGAUUGGAGUACGAUAUAUAGCUUAACUAGCUUUUAGAAUUUUAGAAUCAUGCAUGCCAAUUAUUUACCAGAUUAAGUAGGAUAAAAAGGUAAAAGAAAUUAAUGUACGUGAAGCGACUGAAAGGAAAAAUAAGCUAGGGAAUUAUGGAGGUGGGGG